AACAGUCACAUGAAUAUGUAGUAUCCAUGAAUGCAGGUUCAUUGUUCCAAGCACUUCUGCUCUGAUGCAAGAAUUAUUCUUGAUCUGUAAGCUGCAGUGAACCAAACUCUUCUUCACCUUAGACUAGUUGACUCAUCAACCAGGAACUGCUGUGCUGAAUAGCCAAUCGGGCCAAUCCCGUUCACUUUCACACGAUGUAACAUGGAAGGUACUGGGAAAUGAUUGACGUUUUCUUCACAAAGGAAAAUGAUGGCCAUCUGGCUUCAGUGCCACAGUUACUCUGGAAGUCCGAUUCUUCAGUGUUCUUGCAGCACACACAAAAAGGAAAAGAAAAAAUAAAAAGGAAGAAAAUAGAAAAGGAAGAGGAAAAAUGAAAAACGAAGAAAAAAUUGUAGAAGAAAACACUCCAUGAGUCACAGUUUGCAUGCUGGACAGAGAAGUGCAGAGGUCAAAGAGGACUGGUAAUUGCCCCCUCCCUCCUCCACCAAACCCCAGACCGAAUCAUCAUGUCAUGGUGGUGUCGAGUGAGGUCAAGAGGCGCCGGUGAUGAGCGAUGGUGGCGAAGGAGGGCGUGUGAGGGAUAACAAUGAUGUUGGCUACCUCUCAUGGAGGGCGCGGCAAGGACUGUGGAGGAGCAUAAUGGCAUCCCUAGUUUGAUUGGAGCGUUCUCUCUGUUUGACAUGCCACGCUCUGGGCCUCUGCCAACUUGUAAACUCUUCAAUACUUGAAGAGCUCUCGGCAUUCACCCACUGUGCGAGCGCCGUGGCCUUGGGUGGUAUCUCCUCCAUGUACAAAAUACGGUAUGUAUAUGGAUCUGCCUUGGAGCUAGUUGUACUAUCAUAGCUUUGGAGAAACUCUCUCCCUUCUCACAAAAGAAGAAGAAAAAAAAAUGUGAAAAGAAAAAAAGAAAAAGGAAAAAAAUG